rnacentral:rRNA from 1 species
AGCGUCUUUGCUUGACUAAGGCUCCGGAGGAAGCCACGGCUAACUCUGUGCCAGCAGCCGCGGUAAUACAGAGGCGGCAAGCGUUGUUCGGAAUUAUUGGGCGUAAAGAGCACGUAGGCGGCCGUGUAAGUCGGUUGUGAAAGCCUUCCGCUCAACGGGAGAACGGCAUCCGAUACUGCAUGGCUAGAGUGCGGGAGGGGAGAGAAAAACUUCUGGUCA